rnacentral:SRP_RNA from 1 species
GCCGGGCGUGGUGGCGCAUGCCUGUAGUCCCAGCUACUCGGGAGGCUGAGGUGGGAGGAUCGUCUGAGUCCAGGAGUUCUGGGCUGCAGUGCGCUAUGCCGAUCGGGUGUCCACACUAAGUUCAGCAUCAAUAUGGUGACCUCCCGGGAGCGGGGGACCACCAGGUUGCCUAAGGAGGGUGAACUGGCCCAGGUCGGAAACAGAGCAGGUCAAAACUCCCGUGCUGAUCAGCAGUGGGAUCGUGCCUGUGAAUAGCCACUGCACUCCAGCCUGGGCAAUAUAGUGAGACCCUGUCUCU